AACAGCGCCGGCCAACUCCGUGCCAGCAGCCGCGGUAAUACGGAGGGCGCGAGCGUUACCCGGAUUUACUGGGCGCAAAGGGCGUGUAGGUGGUUUGGCGCGUCCAGCGUUAAAGACCGCGGCUCAACCGCGGGGGUGGUAAAACGACGGCCAGGCUAGACGGCUGGAGGGGGUGGUGGAAUUCCCGGAGUAGCGGUGAAAUGCGCAGAUACCGGGAGGAACGCCGAUGGCGAAGGCAACCCCCCGGCCAGUUUGUGACGCUGAGGCGCGAGAGCGUGGGGAGCAAACCGGAUUAGAUACCCGGGUAGUCCACGCCCUAAACGAUGCGCACUAGGUCUUUGGGUUUACUGGAGGCCGAAGCUAACGCGUUAAGUGCGCCGCCUGGGGAGUACGGCCGCAAGGCUGAAACUCAAAGGAAUUGACGGGGGCCCGCACAAGCGGUGGAGCAUGUGGUUUAAUUCGAAGCAACGCGAAGAACCUUACCAGGCCUUGACAUGCUGGGGAACCUGCCUGAAAGGGCGGGGUGCCGUAAGGAGCCCCAGCACAGGUGCUGCAUGGCCGUCGUCAGCUCGUGCCGUGAGGUGUUGGGUUAAGUCCCGCAACGAGCGCAACCCCUGCCCCUAGUUGCCAGCGGGUGAAGCCGGGGACUCUAGGGGGACUGCCCGCGAAAGCGGGAGGAAGGCGGGGACGACGUCUGGUCAGCAUGGCCCUUACGGCCUGGGCGACACACGUGCUACAAUGCCCACUACAGAGCGAGGCGACCGGGCGACCGGGGGCGAAUCGCAAAAAGGUGGGCGUAGUUCGGAUUGCAGUCUGCAACUCGACUGCAUGAAGUCGGAAUCGCUAGUAAUCGCGGAUCAGCCAUGCCGCGGUGAAUACGUUCCCGGGCCUUGUACACACCGCCCGUCACGCCAUGGGAGCGGGUUCUACCCGAAGUCGCCGGGAGCCUGAGGGCAGGCGCCGAGGGUAGGGCUCGUGACUGGGGCGAAGUCGUAACAAGGUAACCAAGC
rnacentral:rRNA from 1 species